GACGAACGCUGGCGGCGUGGAUUAGGCAUGCAAGUCGAACGGUAUCAUCCUUUCGGGGGUGAGAGAGUGGCGAACUGGUGAGUAACACGUAGGUUAUCUACCCUCAAGACGGGGACAACCCAGGGAAACUUGGGCUAAUACCGGAUGUGAGCAACUUUUAGUUGUUUGAAAGGUGGCGUAAGCUGUCGCUUGGGGAUGAGCCUGCGUCCUAUUAGUUAGUUGGUGAGGUAACGGCUCACCUAGGCAAUGAUAGGUAGGCGGCCUUAACGGGUGGUCGCCCACACUGGGAUUGAGAUACGGCCCAGACUCCUACGGGAGGCAGCAGUCGAGAAUAGUCUACAAUGGUCGGAAGACUGAUAGUGCGACGCCGCGUGAACGAUGAAUCCCUUCGGGGUGUAAAGUUCUUUUCUAUACGAGCAGUGCUAUAUAUAUGGAUAGUAUAUAUAGAGGGAUAGUAGUAUAGGAAUAAGCAACGGCUAACUCCGUGCCAGCAGCCGCGGUAAACU
rnacentral:rRNA from 1 species